rnacentral:tRNA from 1 species
GGAGGGAUGGCCGAGUGGACUAAGGCGGCUGUCUUGAAAACAGCUGUGGGCUUCAUCGCCCACCGGGGGUUCGAAUCCCUCUCCCUCCGCCU